rnacentral:snRNA from 1 species
AGCCUCUGGUCGAUGGAA